GAUGAAGAACGUAGCGAAAUGCGAUAAGUAAUGUGAAUUGCAGAAUUCAGUGAAUCAUCGAAUCUUUGAACGCACAUUGCGCCCCCUGGUAUUCCGGGGGGCAUGCCUGUCCGAGCGUCAUUACAACCCUCAAGCUCAGCUUGGUGUUGGGCCCCGCCGCCCCGGCGGGCCCUAAAGUCAGUGGCGGUGCCGUCCGGCUCCGAGCGUAGUAAUUCUUCUCGCUCUGGAGGUCCGGUCGUGUGCUCGCCAGCAACCCCCAAUUUUUUUCAGGUUGACCUCGGAUCAGGUAGGGAUACCCGCUGAACUUAAGCAUAUCAAAAAGCGGAGGA
rnacentral:misc_RNA from 1 species